UCCUGCAUUCCUGCGGAAUAUGAAUGAGAGCCCCUUUAGGGGCCUCGACAUCUCUGCUGCCAUGGCUACCAUUUCCAUGGCAACAGCUAUCUGCCUGCUGAUGGAACGGAGGAGGAGAGAAAUACCUCUACCCCGGCCUAGAGAGACCCCCAUCUCAGUAAGGUUUUCUGCUGGGAAAGCCAGACGGUAGAAACUCCACCUCCUAGAAUCAAUUAAUGGGGAAGUCAUCAGCAAAGAAGUAAUUAAUGGAGAAGGGCAAAAGCAAGACAAUGUCUGUGUGUGUGCGCGCGUGCGCUUAUGCGUGCUAAGGCAGGAGUGUGUAUGUGAGCCUGUGGAAAUGUUCUAUCAGCCUUUACCAUCGGUCUACUCCUCUGACACUAAAACGCAUGAUCAGAACAAAGGAAGAGCGGGGAGAAAAUAUAUAUAAAUCAGCACUUCAUCAAGGCCCUUCCAUGCUGCCUGUUUCAAGAGGAAAUUCAUUGUAAAGGCACAGUUCAAGGGGCCACCGAGCCAUCUUCCAUCCUGUCUCCAGAGCCUCUAAAAUAACUUAAUGAUGGAAAAGUUGGGCUUAAAAGGCCCCUGAGCUACUAAGACCCCUGGCCUUGAUCAGUGGUUCCUUUGCCUGCUGACACAUUAUCCAAUCACCCAGGUUCUUGUACCUGAAAGAAGGCAAAGUAACUCGAGCUGUGGCAAGUACAAAACCUUCGAAGCACCGGACAGGACAAGUCUAACUAAGUCGAUCACCUAGAGACAAUGGGCGAGGGAGAGGUGAGCGCCAGGAGCUGGAGCCAGGGAGAGCCAGACCUGGAGCCAUGAACAGCCAGACCGGAGCCAUGGAGAGCCAGAGCCAUUGGAAAGCCAGAGCCGGAGCCAAGAAGAACCAGAGUCACGGAGAACCAGAGCAGGAGCCAUGGAGAAUCAGAGCUGAGCCUGGAGAGCUAUCGCUCUUAGAAUUGGAGUUGGUGCUAUGGAAAACCAGUACUAAAGUCAUGGAGAGCUAGUGCCAGAGUCUGGAAAAGUCAGUGCCAGAGCAAUAGAGAGCCAGAACUAGAGCCAGGAAGAAUUGGAGUCAGAGCCAUAGAGAGUUGGUGCCAGAUCCAUAAAGAGCCAGCGGCAGAGCCAUAGAGCGUCAGAGCCGGAGCCAGGAAAAGCCUGAGCCAGAGCCAGGAAGAGCCAUUGACCAGGAAGCCCCCAGUGACCAACCACCCAAGUCGACACCGAUCCAGCCUAAAGCAAGGUGCCACCCUAAAAUCAGGAGGGGACCGGGGGCAACCCCAAACUCUGGGGCAAAGAAUGCACGGCUUGUAAGGACCCACUGAUGGAUCCGCAGUUCCUCGACUGGUGUCGCUGCCACCGGCAGCGGAGCACAGUCCAUCUGGUAGAGAAUCUUGGCUUCUGGGCAGCACCGGAAGCACCGUUAUCUCUCCCUGGGGAAGAGGCCCCGCUCCGAAUGGGUCUAUUAGCAAUAUUACUCUGUUGACACCAGAUUUACCGCGGCCCUGGGCCUCCUGCCCUGAGCCGGGAAGACGUUUUAAGAGAGAGAAACUGAGCCAAGCAGCAGCCAUGGGAGUAAUUGGUUUUCCUAAUGGACUUUUAUUUACCUCUAGCAACUGCACCACCCGCAGGCCAGCUCUGAACAAGAAAAGAGUUUGACUGCAGAAGCAGCUGUCUCCGAGUGCCUCACUCUGGGAACCUGCCUGGCCCCCACUGCCAACCGCCACCUCCAGCCACCUCGUCCCACCUCCAGCCACACCCCACCUCCAACCCCUCCCUACCAUGCCCCAGCCGGGGACGGUCUUCAUCCUCCUGCCAGCCACUUUCUCCCACAGGAAGACCUUCUGCUGCUUCCUAGCCCGGGAAGCCCGAGUCACGGGUUGAUCCAGAAAGUCACACUGGGCUUGUGCCAUAUGAUGUGACACGCUGUAUGAGGGGCCAUCUGAAGUGACACGUGACAUGCAGCAUGAAAUCCCACAUUACGGGGAAGAAUAAUUACGGCCUCUGCAGGGUCCUUUUGGUUACCCUCACCUGCUCAGCAUCCCUCGUUGUAUGCUCCCGUCUCCCUCGCUGUAUCCCUCGCUGCAUACAUCACUGUAUCCCUAGUUGCCCCACAGCCCCAAGUGGUCACUUUCCACCUGUAUGAGCUCCCUCUGCUUCGCCACCUUCUUUCCUCUUGAACAAACCCGCAGAGGGCCUGGAGGGAGAACCUAAAGCCUCAUCAUGCUGCCUGGCCUGCCACCCCAGGCACUGAUUCAAGCAUUGUUCCCAUUUCAGUUGUGAAGGAUUUCUUCCUGAAUGAAGUAACAUUACUAAUCAUCA